AUGGAAGGCGGCGCAGUCCAGAUCGUAUCUCGGCGCACGGUCAAGCCAGAUUACCAAACGAGCACCCGGCCGCCGGAGCCCGAGACCGUCCACCUGACGCCGUGGGACCUGCGGCGGAUCACGGUGGACUACAUCCAGAAGGGGGUCGUCCUGCCCAAGCCUCCGCCCGGCGCGCACGCCGUCGAACACCUCGCGUCGUCCUUCGCGCGCGCCGUGGGCCGCUUCUACCCCCUCGCCGGCCGCUUCACCGUCGCGCCGGGGGCCACCGACGACGACGGGGCGCCGUCACCUCGGCCGAGCUUGACGAUCUCGCUCCGCUGCGGCGACGAAGGCGCCGACUUCGUCCACGCCGUGGCGCCCGGGGUGGCUGUCGCCGACAUCGCCGGCCCGCUUCACGUCAUCCCACGGGUGGUGUGGUCCUUCUUCCCUCUCAGCGGGAUGCUCGGCGCCGACGCCGUCGUCGACCCCGGCCGGCCGGUCCUGGCCGCGCAGGUCACGGAGCUCGCCGAUGGCCUCGUGGUCGCCAUGUCGCUGAACCACGGCGCCGCCGACGGGACCACGUUCUGGGACCUGUUCAACGCAUGGUCGGAUAUCAGCCGGAGCCGCGCCGCCGCCAACGGAGACAUCUCCACGGUGGCCCCACCUCCUAAGAGAUGGUUCCUCGACGGCUGCACCGUGCCGAUCCCUCUCCCCUUUGCCAGGGUGGAGGACAUCGCCAGGCGGUUCGAGUACCCGCCGGUGCAGGAAUGCUCGCUCCGUUUCUCGUCGGAGAGCGUGAAGAAGCUGAAGGCAAAAGCGAACGCCGAGAUGGCCACCGGCACAGCCACCAUCUCCUCCUUGCAAGCCGUGCUUGCACAGCUAUGGCGAGCAAUGUGCCGGCCCGUGGGCUCGCGCCGGACCAGGAGACGUCGUGCGCGCUUCCCGUCGGAUGCCGGACACGCGUGA
rnacentral:rRNA from 1 species